GCGUCACUGAUGAGUCUUAUGUAGACGAAACGCGCGUCUGGCGUAUAAAAUUAUAAUCCUGGUACUUUUGAUAACUAUUUACACCACUGGGUCGAUGCCACUGCUGGUGGACGUUUCGUCCCCGAGGGUAUCACCAGCCCAGUAGUCAGCACUUCGGUGUUGACAUGAAUAUCAAUUAUAUGGUCAUUUUUAUAAAUUUUCUGUUUACAAAACUUUUGAAUUUUUCGAAAAACUAAGGAUUUUCUUACCCCAGGAGUAGAUUACCUUAGCCGUAUUUGGCACAACUUUUGGGAAUUUUGGGUCCUCAAUGCUCUUCAACUUUGUAUUUGUUUGGCUUUUUAACUAUUUUGAUCUGAGCGUCACUGAUGAGUCUUAUGUAGACGAAACGCGCGUCUGGCGUAUAAAAUUAUAAUCCUGGUACUUUUGAUAACUAUCCGAUAUCAU
rnacentral:lncRNA from 1 species